UGAGGAAUAUUGGUCAAUGGGCGAGAGCCUGAACCAGCCAAAUCGCGUGAAGGAAGACUGCCUUAUGGGUUGUAAACUUCUUUUAUACAGGAAUAAAAAAGGGGACGUGUCCCUUAUUGCAUGUACUGUAUGAAUAAGCAUCGGCUAACUCCGUGCCAGCAGCCGCGGUAAUACGGAGGAUGCGAGCGUUAUCCGGAUUUAUUGGGUUUAAAGGGUGCGCAGGCGGGCUUUUAAGUCAGCGGUGAAAUCUCGGGGCUUAACUCCGAAACUGCCGUUGAAACUGGGAGUCUUGAGUAUGGAUGAAGUAGGCGGAAUUCGUUGUGUAGCGGUGACAUGCUUAGAUAUAACGAGGAACUCCGAUUGCGUAGGGCAGCUUACUAAGCCAUAACUGACGCUCAAGCACGAAAGCGUGGGGAUCAAAACAGGAUUAGAUACCCUGGUAGUCCACGCCGUAAAACGAUGAUUACUAGUUGUAUGCGAUAUACCGUAUGUGACUAAGCGAAAGCGAUAAGUAAUCCACCUGGGGAGUACGCCGGCAACGGUGAAACUUAAAGGAAUUGACGGGGUCAUAGCUGUUUCCU
rnacentral:rRNA from 1 species